GAUGAACGCUGGCGGCGUGCCUAAUACAUGCAAGUCGAGCGAACGGACGAGAAGCUUGCUUCUCUGAUGUUAGCGGCGGACGGGUGAGUAACACGUGGAUAACCUACCUAUAAGACUGGGAUAACUUCGGGAAACCGGAGCUAAUACCGGAUAAUAUUUUGAACCGCAUGGUUCAAAAGUGAAAGACGGUCUUGCUGUCACUUAUAGAUGGAUCCGCGCUGCAUUAGCUAGUUGGUAAGGUAACGGCUUACCAAGGCAACGAUGCAUAGCCGACCUGAGAGGGUGAUCGGCCACACUGGAACUGAGACACGGUCCAGACUCCUACGGGAGGCAGCAGUAGGGAAUCUUCCGCAAUGGGCGAAAGCCUGACGGAGCAACGCCGCGUGAGUGAUGAAGGUCUUCGGAUCGUAAAACUCUGUUAUUAGGGAAGAACAGAUGUGUAAGUAACUGUGCACAUCUUGACGGUACCGAAGCAGAAAGCCACGGCUAACUACGU
rnacentral:rRNA from 1 species